UGCGUAGGUGGUUUCUUAAGUCAGAGGUGAGAGGCUACGGCUCAACCGUAGUAAGCCUUUGAAACUGGGAAACUUGAGUGCAGGAGAGGAGAGUGGAAUUCCUAGUGUAGCGGUGAAAUGCGUAGAUAUUAGGAGGAACACCAGUUGCGAAGGCGGCUCUCUGGACUGUAACUGACACUGAGGCACGAAAGCGUGGGGAGCAAACA
rnacentral:rRNA from 1 species